rnacentral:rRNA from 1 species
AGCGAACGCUGGCGGCAGGCCUAACACAUGCAAGUCGAACGAACUCUUCGGAGUUAGUGGCGGACGGGUGAGUAACACGUGGGAACGUGCCUUUAGGUUCGGAAUAACUCAGGGAAACUUGUGCUAAUACCGAAUGUGCCCUUCGGGGGAAAGAUUUAUCGCCUUUCGAGCGGCCCGCGUCUGAUUAGCUAGUUGGUGAGGUAAAGGCUCACCACGGCGACGAUCAGUAGCUGGUCUGAGAGGAUGAUCAGCCACAUUGGGACUGAGACACGGCCCAAACUCCUACGGGAGGCAGCAGUGGGGAAUCUUGCGCAAUGGGCGAAAGCCUGACGCAGCCAUGCCGCGUGAAUGAUGAAGGUCGUAGGAUUGUAAAAUUCUUUCACCGGGGACGAUAAUGACGGUACCCGGAGAAGAAGCCCCGGCUAACUUCGUG